rnacentral:rRNA from 1 species
AUACGUAGGGGGCGAGCGUUGUCCGGAAUGAUUGGGCGUAAAGGGCGCGUAGGCGGCGACAUAAGUCUGAAGUGAAAGUCCUAAAUUCAAGUUAGGAAUUGCUUUGGAAACUAUAUUGCUUGAGUGCAGGAGAGGUCAUCGGAAUUCCCGGUGUAGCGGUGAAAUGCGUAGAGAUCGGGAGGAACACCAGUGGCGAAGGCGGGUGGCUGGACUGUAACUGACGCUGAUGCGCGAAAGUGUGGGGAGCAAACAGGAUUAGAUACCCUGGUAGUCCACACCGUAAACGAUGAAUGCUAGGUGUAGGUGGUAUCGACCCCAUCUGUGCCGUCGCAAACGCAAUAAGCAUUCCGCCUGGGGAGUACGGUCGCAAGAUUAAA